UAUAAAACGCGUCAUUUGACGUCAUUUUAAUCCAUGGACUAAAGUUAGUACCUAGGUACUAACUUUUGCGAUUCACAAAGGUGGACUAAAGUUAUACCGGGGUAUAAAACGCGUCAUUUGACGUCACGAUUUAGUCAGCUCUUUGGGGUGGACUAAAUCGGUGGAUUAAAGUUAGUCCACGGUUUUAACCAAUCAGAGAGCAGCAUUGCGGUUGCAGAAAAGUUUGCUGCAAAAAAAAGUUUUUUGGACGGAGACGAGAUUCGGUGUGAUCGGCUUAUCUAAAGCUUAAAAUUUCACGACUUCGACCGAGAUUAAACAGACCAUACUCGGCAGAUUGUGAUCAAUCAAGACGACAAACAUGGCUCACAUUUUUGAACUGCUGUGCCUUCUUGCAACAGAGUGAGAUUCAGCAACACAUAGGAAGACCACAGCAUGGAUUAAGAGACAGGAAGAAUCCAUUUGAAUGCUACAAGGAUGAACCUUUCAGAGUGGGCUACCAACAGAGAGAAACGACACAUUGCCUGACAUGUUACAUGUUUUGACAGGACUUUGUUUUUAUGCCAUUGGUACCUUUUAGAAGAUGCAAGCAGACAAAGCAACUAUAUCAUAGUCAUCCGUGUGCAGAAUCAUCAAAGAUUUUUCUGAGGCAAUGGCAAGGAGUAACAGUUAAUGAAGUGUCCGAUGACGAGAAAUUCAAACCACCCAGCGACAAUUUGAUGAUUGCUACAGGUUUCCAAGAGUCGUAGGUGCUAUCGAUUGGGGCCAUGUCUACAUCAGGAGUCCUGAUGGGGAACAAGACCUGUACUUAGCAGGAAGAACAGGUCUUCUGUAAAUGUAUAGGUAUCCGUUGCUCCUCUCUUUGAUGAAUUCCUGCCUGCAUUCUGUUGUCAAUAGAAAAGGACCAUGUGCUUCGGGUAUUAAGCAUUCCAUUGGAUUAUCUGUGUAUGAAAGUGGACACUUGUGAUCACAAAAUGGUAGCUUAGUUGAUAGGAUGUAUUCAUGCAUUCCGAUUUAUCAUUAGUGAUCAAAUGACCAUCUUGCUUUUAAAAACCCAAAUUCACAACAUUUUUCUUGUUUGACAAAAGGUUUGGGAUGUGAAUUCCAGGAAAUAAAUGACACACACGAUGGGCUAAUGUAUAAGCAGGGAUGUGAGAGGUAUAAGCAACAUUUUGCUCAUGCUUAACUAAGUUUGGCAUGAGAUGGUCUUGGUCAUUCUUAUGAUUCAAGUCUAUUUUUAUACCAUUU
rnacentral:lncRNA from 1 species